GGAGGGCGGCUCAGCCCAACAACGUGACAGAGCAGUUUAAACCAGGGGCAUAAUAUGUUUACAUUCCAGAGUUGAGGCUAGGACGACUUGCUUAUCUUCCUUAGUGCACAUAUCAAGACCGCUUCUGGAACUCAGGUAGACGAUUCCUGCAAUAAUAGCCUCACAGACGUUGUUUUAAGGAAGAAUACAGUGCUAUUUAAGACCUCAUUCUGAAAGUCAGUCCUGAUUGGGUCUAGCGGUCUUUCAUAUAUUAUUGCCACAAUUUCCGAGUUCAUCAAGUGCAUGUCAUGGCUGGGGAGGCACAGGUUUAAAAUCGUCAAGCGCGCAAUCUCUGAUGAUGUUGGCUUGGCUGCCCUUGUUAGACAUAUGAAAGCGGCGGUAAUUAUACUACUCAACGACAUGUAUGCACGUGAUGAACCACUUGUUGUACACUGGGAGGAACGCAGCAAGGCUAAUCUUAGGGAAGACAUGGACAGCGAGUGGGUAACUUUAAUAGGUACCUGACAGAAUGAGACUUGACUUCACAUACCUCUUUCAUGUCCUACCGUCUCCUGAUGCCGAUUGUAGAAUGCUUUACCGCAAGACAAUAGACAAUUUGGCUAUGGCUAAUACCAAAAGCUGACACUUCGUAUGUGAAUCUCUUCAUGAAUUAUUCUAAAACUAUACUGACUUAGCGCCUGCUGUAUUUCAAAACAGAGGCAAGGUGAAAUAUGACUGUGAGGAGGGAUAUGACCUUAAAACUAGGGACUGGUGGAAGAGGCAUUCAAAGGGUGAAGGGAACAUGAUUCUUCCACCUAGGGAUGAAUCUGGGGAAAAGCUUGGCUAGUUAACCACUUGCGUAAACCGUAUGCCAGCGCCUCAGUGGCGUGGUUGGUAUGGUCUUUGUCAUCCGCGAGUUCGAUUCUCGGGCAUUCCAUUGAGGGGUCAGAGAUCAUUGUGUAUUUCUGGUGAUAGAAGUUUGCUCUCGACGCGGUUCGGAAGUCACAUAAAGCCGUUGGUCUCGUUGCUGAAUAACCACUGGUUACACGCAACGUAAAAAAACCAGAAAAACCCAACAUGUAUUAUGCCGAGAUACAUGGCAAACGGAAUAUUCCAUGCACUCAAACAUGCACCUAUAACCUCAGUGGAAAUAUUACCCCUGGUGAUUUUCGGAAAAAAUGCAGGAGGGCAUAGCUGCAAAGUCAGAGAAUACAAUGCCUGAUUUUUAAAGCAAGAGAAACCUAUUCUGGCUGCGAUGUUUUCGGGGAAGUCACAACCUCUCUCUCUCUCUCUCUCUCUCUCUCUCUCUCUCUC